GGCCCCGGGAAGGGGCUCAGGUCGCGCAGCAGUCGCUGUCUCCGCAGGUAGAGCUUCAUGGCCUGCAUCAGCACCAGCGCCAGGCAGAACACCAAAGCCAGGUGCAAGGGCCGCGCCCAACGAGUCUCCAGCCAGGAGGCCUCCAUCACUCUGAGCUCGCUUUUCGGCGGGCAGUGGGUGGGUGGAGGAUAUGGUAGUGGUGGUGGGAAGCUCUUAGCUUUCUCCAGCCCGGAGCUGGCGUGAACCACCCAGCCCCCUCCCCAGUGAGCCCUGGUGUAACUGAGGUGGGGGAGGGGCAGCUCCUGCCUGGGAAGAAGAUGCUGGUCCUUCGGGAUUUCCAGUCUGCGCUAUCCAUUCGCUGGUGCACGCUUGGAUUCAGGCAGACAGACUUCGUUCGCGGAGUGUCUUAUUUUAAGUCUGACAGUUUCCAAUCGCGGAAGAUCUGAAUUUAGACUUUGAAAUAAUGCUCAGGCUGAUGUAAUUAUUUCUCUUCCUUGUCACGAACGAAAAUAAACUGCUAUGCGAAAUGACCUGCUUUCCCACUCUGGAAAUCUAUGAGCAGCCACAGGAACUAGAGUGCACCAAGGUCCACCGUGGCUCCUUUCAAGCUGUGUCAGAGUACCAAACCCCCGAGAUGAGAAGAGACAGACAGUGGUGCACCACUACAGAGUAUUUCUAUUAUUCAGGUUCUUCCUGUGCGGGGCUCCCUGCCCUCAUCAUGACAUGUCUCUCAUAGGGAAUACACGGUGAAGGUCUCUCUUCUGGGAACUCCCUAUCCCAUCGUCCCUCCUCCUGCUUCUAUGAGGGUGCUCACCUACUCUCCCACUCGCUCCUGCCUCCCUGCCCUGGCAUUCCCCAACACUGGAGCAUGGAGCCUUCCCAGGACCAAGGGCCUCUCCUACCAUUGAUGUCUGGCCAGGUCAUCCUCUGCUACACAUGCAGCUGGAGCCAUGGAUCCCUCCAUGUGUACUCUUUGGUUGGUGGUUUAGUCCCUGGGAGCACUGGAGGAUCUGGUUGGUUGAUAUUGUUGUUCCUAGUAUAGAUUACAAACCCCUUCAGCUCCUUCAGUCCUUUCUCUAACUCCUCCAUUGGAGACCCUGUGAUCAGUCCAAUGGUUGGCUUUGAGCAUCUGCCUCUGUAUUUGCCAGGCUCUGACAAUACCUCUUAGGAGACAGCUAUAUCAGGGUGGAGCUACAUUUCAGCAUCCUUAUCACACAUAUUAAGAACUCUAUUUGAUGGUUUCCGGUCUUGGCUGUUACUUUUUAUGUGGAGGGUUGGGGUAGGGUAAGGGUAAGGCUUGUCACUGAAGCUUUUAAUGUCCUUUUUUCUCAUCUGUGAGUCUGCAGUCAUUGAUUCUACUCCAAAAGCAGUUUACUUGCCCUUUGUAGACAGCAGUAGCAUGGAUAACACAUUUCCACAUGGUUUCUGGUACUAGCAUGGAUCAUGGAUGUGUACAUGGUCUCCAGCCUCUUACAUUCAGGAGCCCCAUAAAAGUACUAAACUGAAAGCUAUAUUAUAUAUGCAAAGGACCCAGUUCAGACCCAUGUAGGCCCUGUGACUGCUGCUCCCCAUCCCUGUGAGUUCAUAUGAGCCGACUCAUUUGCUUUAGAGCACUUUGUUCUGGUGUCCUCUAUCUGUCCGGUUUCCCCAACUCCUUCUGCCUCCUGCUCUUCUGGGUUCCCUGAGCUCUGAGGGGAGAGAUUGGAUGGUGACAUCUCAUUUACAGUAUCUGUGUGCAAGCCAACACUUGUUUUUCCCUUUAGACUAUUCAAUUUACUUUGAUUAUAUUAUAGGGUAAAAGUCACAGACUAUGAAGAAGAGCUAACCUGUCAUAUUUACAUCUCUGGGUUAAGUGCUAGCAAUGUAUUUUCAAUACUACACAGAACAGUUGGAAGAAGCAUGUCUUUCUUAUCAUUCUUAUCUUUGAGUGGUUUGGGAACACAGGGAAAAAAUCUUAAUUUUAAUUGCACUAACUUUUUUUCAUUUUAAAAUAAAAUUGUAAUU
ensembl:antisense Cyp4x1os cytochrome P450, family 4, subfamily x, polypeptide 1, opposite strand